GUGUGUGAAGAAGGCCUUAUGGUUGUAAAGCACUUUAAGCGAGGAGGAGGCUACUUUAGUUAAUACCUAGAGAUAGUGGACGUUACUCGCAGAAUAAGCACCGGCUAACUCUGUGCCAGCAGCCGCGGUAAUACAGAGGGUGCAAGCGUUAAUCGGAUUUACUGGGCGUAAAGCGCGCGUAGGCGGCUAAUUAAGUCAAAUGUGAAAUCCCCGAGCUUAACUUGGGAAUUGCAUUCGAUACUGGUUAGCUAGAGUGUGGGAGAGGAUGGUAGAAUUCCAGGUGUAGCGGUGAAAUGCGUAGAGAUCUGGAGGAAUACCGAUGGCGAAGGCAGCCAUCUGGCCUAACACUGACGCUGAGGUGCGAAAGCAUGGGGAGCAAACAGGAUUAGAUACCCUGGUAGUCCAUGCCGUAAACGAUGUCUACUAGCCGUUGGGGCCUUUGAGGCUUUAGUGGCGCAGCUAACGCGCCAAGUAGACCGCCUGGGGAGUACGGUCGCAAGACUAAAACUCAAAUGAAUUGACGGGGGCCCGCACAAGCGGUGGAGCAUGUGGUUUAAUUCGAUGCAACGCGAAGAACCUUACCUGGCCUUGACAUAGUAAGAACUUUCCAGAGAUGGAUUGGUGCCUUCGGGAACUUACAUACAGGUGCUGCA
rnacentral:rRNA from 1 species